UGCCCAGCCCAGCCGGGUUUGGGACUGGGGCCCAGUGCGGUGAGCAGAGCAGGGAAGGGCUCUGUGGAGAAGGCAGCGCCUGGGAACACACAGGCAGCGAUGAGUGGAGGGGCUGGGAAGUGUGAGGUGCCAGCCUUGAACUGCUGGAGGCUGUUCUGACUUCCUUUUUCAUGACUAAAACGUCUUCUGGUUUUUAUUAGGAAAUACAAAAUUAACCCAAGCUAAUAAACCCUAAUAAGGCCUGCUGGGAUCCAGCUGACUGGAUAGGCACAUUAAUAUCCACCAGACGCCCCUGUUUUUCAUCCACAGAUGAAAUUCUCAAUGCCGGGUUGAACAUUAGGAGGAUUUUUUUCACAGAAAGGGUUGUUGGGUGUUGGAAUCAGCUGCCCAGGGUAGCGGUGGAGUCACCAUCCCUGGAGGUUUUUAACAAAGGACUGGAUGUGGCACUUGGUGCUGUGGUCUGUUUGACAAAGUGUGGUCUGAUCGGACUUGAAUAUCUCAGUGAUCUGUUCCAACCUAAAUGAUCCCGUGAAACCUGUGAGUUAAUGCCAAACCUGAGACACCAAACUCAGGCCCACUCAGCAGAAGAGCAGAGCCCUGGUAACUUUAUGUCCAUCACAUGGAUUUAGAAUCUGACACAAGUUCACAGUCUGAGCAGAGGGUUCAUGGAAGUGAGUCCCAGAAGCCAGAUUUGUGCAAAUUGUUCCAUCCAUCAGGAAUGAUGUUGGGGCUGAACAUACCUGACCUUUAAAGUAUGAGGAGAAAAGACAGAGAGAUUCAUUGUCUUCACCUACAGUUUCCUUCUAUGCAUGUGUGAACUAAAGAAAAUUUAGAUGAAAUGGGUCUCUGAAGCAAUUAGAGCAAGCAAGAGCCAGAAUUUUUGAAUCAUGGAGUACAAGAUGUGUUGGAACACUGGGAAUGUUUUAGUGCAUACAAGCAAGUCUACAAUCAAAAUUUUACCCCAAGAGGUAUUUUUAUGCUACCAGUCUGUGCUUCAGAAAAUGCUGAAUUUUUUCUUUAGAAAACCAGUGAAGACAAAAUCAUUAACAAUACGUACCAUAGGAGAUAUGUGAUUUGUUUUGAGAGUAAUUUAGGAUUAAAAUCCUGUGCACUGUAAUAAAAAUUAAAGGAAACAACA
rnacentral:lncRNA from 1 species